rnacentral:rRNA from 1 species
GACGAACGCUGGCGGCGUGCUUAACACAUGCAAGUCGAACGGAAAGGCCUGCUUUCCCUUGUGGAUUGCGGGUACUCGAGUGGCGAAGGGGUGAGUAACACGUGAGUCAUCUGCCCCCAACUUAGGUAUAAGCCUGGGAAACUGUGUCUAAUUCACGCUAUGAACGCAGGGUGUUGGCUGUGAUGGAAAACGUUCUUCUCGUGGUGGGGGAUGGGCUCGCGGGCUAUCAGGUUGUGGGUAGGGUAAUGGCCUACCAAGGCGGCGACGGGUGGCCGGGCGGGGAGGGUCGACGGGGGCAUUGGAACCGAGCCAAGGCCCAGACGCCGACGGGAGGAAGCAGUGGGGAAUAAUGGACGAUAGGCGGAAGGCUGAAGCAGCGGUGCGGCGAGGGGGAUGACGGCCUGCGGGUUGUAAACUGCUUUGGAGCGCGAGGGAGCCACUUGGUUGGAAGGGUAGUGACGGUAGUGGUAGAAGAAGCACCGGCUAACUACGUG